rnacentral:misc_RNA from 1 species
GAUGAAGAACGUAGCAAAAUGCGAUAAGUAAUGUGAAUUGCAGAAUUCAGUGAAUCAUCGAAUCUUUGAACGCACAUUGCGCCCGCCAGUAUUCUGGCGGGCAUGCCUGUCCGAGCGUCAUUUCAACCCUCAAGCCCCCGGGCUUGGUGUUGGGGAUCGGCACAACGGCCUCGCAAGAGGACGCGCCGGCCCCUAAAUUCAGUGGCGGUCUCGCUGCAGCCUCCAUUGCGUAGUAGCUAACACCUCGCAACUGGAACGCGGCGCGGCCAAGCCGUUAAACCCCCAACUUCUGAAUGUUGACCUCGGAUCAGGUAGGAAUACCCGCUGAACUUAAGCAUAUCAAUAAGCGGAGGA